rnacentral:rRNA from 1 species
CUACGGGGCGCUGCAGCAAGGGAUAUUGCGCAAUGGGCGAAAGCCUGACGCAGCGACGCCGCGUGGGGGAAGAAGGCUUUCGGGUUGUAAACCCCUUUUCUUGGUGAAGAGUAAGGACGGUAGCCAAGGAAUAAGUCUCGGCUAACUACGUGCCAGCAGCCGCGGUAAUACGUAGGAGGCAAGCGUUAUCCGGAAUCACUGGGCGUAAAGGGCGUGUAGGCGGCCCGUUAAGUUGGCUGUGAAAUCUCCCGGCUCAACCGGGAGCCGUCAGCCAAUACUGGCGGGCUAGAGGGCAGCAGAGGAAAGUGGAAUUCCCGGUGUAGCGGUGGAAUGCGUAGAUAUCGGGAGGAACACCAGUGGCGAAGGCGGCUUUCUGGGCUGCCCCUGACGCUGAGGCGCGAAGGCGUGGGGAGCAAAGUGGAUUAGAUACCCUAGUAGUC